CUUGCUCACAAAGUCUCCUUUGAUUUUAAUUGUGUAUAGUGAGCUUGUAAUAUGAGUUGAGUGUGAGAAUGUCCUUUCUAAAGAGGAUAUGUCACCUCCAACUCAAUGCAAGACAUUCCCAUUAUUUUUAAAAAGAGUAGGAAGUACCCAUACCUAGAGCAUUAUUUGACAGACCCAGACGUCAGUCCCAAAUUUUACAAAUGUUUGUCAACGCAUGGCCUAGGGGGGUCUCAGCAUGCAUGUUCAUACCAGGGGUUCUUAACUUCUGGAUCGGGUUCUAAAU